GUCAAUUUAAAGGACUGUCCUUCUUUAGGUCUUCAGUUAUAUUUUUCCAACGGCCUUGCCUAUAAAGUGACGGCAAUCGUACAUGCCAACUGUAUUUUUUUAAUACCCUUCACUGGCAAGAUCCAAACCUGAUAUCCAUCCCUAUGACGACACCAGUUUUUUCAGUGUUAUUGGUUAAUGAAUUCCAAAAAUCUCAGGACUUCUGCCCCUCACCAAAACGGAAGGUCUCUUGCUUGCAUCUGCUUUCGAAAUAAGUGCGUCAUGCAAUUGCCUGCCCUCUCGGGGAAGCAGGCUGAGAACAUUCUUCGGCGGCUCGGUGGUGCCCUCUCCUUGGGGUGGUCAUCAGUCUGCAGCCGCAGAAUCCUGGGGAGUAAACCCCGGCUCCCACGUGGGCUGGGUACAUCUGUCCAGCAGCCGAAGGAAGUGUCCUUCCUCUCAAACAGCACACAAAACAAGAGGACCCCUGGCUGGCUCUGUUGGUUAAGCGUCCGACUCCUGAUUUCAGCUCAGGUCUUGGUCUCAGGGUUGUGAGUUCAAGCUCCUCAUUGGACUCUGUGCUGGGGAUGGAG
rnacentral:lncRNA from 1 species